AAGUUGAAAGUUAGCUUUCAUAGUUUAGUAAUAUACUAAAAAACAUUUUGGCUUUUUAUGUGGUUAACAUAACAACAUAGUGCAAUAAGGUCCACCUUGUAUGAUGUGACUAUCUUAUUCAAUAUUUCUGAUUUUGAGAAAAGCAUUUGCCAAUCAUAUCAAACGUCCACCUUGUAUGAUGUGACUAUCUUCUUAUUCGAUAUUUGUGGUUUUGAGGAAAGCAUUUGCCCAUCAUAUCAAUUAUCAGGCUACUGAAGACAGUGGAUAAAAUUGAUAUGGUGUUUUGUUACCAUGAUAUGGAGGGUAAUGGUGGAUGAGUGUGGGAUGACACUUACAGGACAAUAAGAAUCGCGUUUGAGAGAACUGAAAUGCAUUCUAAGCUAGUAUUUCAUCUUAGCCAAGUAUUCAAGUUUAUGAAACUACUGUCUGUAAGACAGGUAUUACGAUGUAAGCAAAUACAGUUGUAGCAAAUAAUAUUAUAUCUUUGAUAAAUAAAAUUAAUUUGAAUUUA